UAGGGAAUAUUGGACAAUGGGUGAGAGCCUGAUCCAGCCAUGCCGCGUGCAGGAAGAAGGCGUUAUGCGUUGUAAACUGCUUUUUGCCAGGGGAUAAAAUGACCGUGCGCGGUUAAUUGAAGGUACCUGGUGAAUAAGCCACGGCUAACUACGUGCCAGCAGCCGCGGUAAUACGUAGGUGGCAAGCGUUGUCCGGAUUUAUUGGGUUUAAAGGGUGCGUAGGUGGCCCUGUAAGUCAGUGGUGAAAUAUCUCAGCUUAACUGAGAGGGUGCCAUUGAUACUGCAGGGCUUGAGUACAGAUGAGGUAGGCGGAAUUGACGGUGUAGCGGUGAAAUGCAUAGAUAUCGGAAGGAACACCAGUGGCGAAGGCGACCACCUGGACUGAUACUGACACUGAGGUGCGAAAGCGUGGGGAGCAAACAGGAUUAGAUACCCUCGUAGUCCCUGAGCGGGCUGGCAAGGCGCAU
rnacentral:rRNA from 1 species